UACGGGGGGGCAAGCGUUGUUCGGAAUUACUGGGCGUAAAGCGCGCGUAGGCGGCUUUGCAAGUCGGGUGUGAAAUCCCCAGGCCUAACCUGGGAACUGCAUUCGAGACUGCAUGGCUAGAGUAUCGGAGAGGGAAGUGGAAUUCAGGUGUAGCGGUGAAAUGCGUAGAUAUCUGAAGGAACAUCAGUGGCGAAAGCGACUUCUGACGAAUACUGACGCUCA
rnacentral:rRNA from 1 species